CGGCGGAGGAAGCCCAGCCCUUGCCAUCUCUUUUGAAUGUGCUCCAUCAUUCUUCCUCCAGCUUCCAUCCAGGGAGGAACUAAUGUAAUUUGUAUAAAAUGAGCAACUGGAAAUUAAUGGUGCAGAGAUCAGCUGACGUAUCCAAUUCCUCCAGAAGAACUUGUGUGAUGAUUUCCCCUGAUUUACAAGAUACAGUCCAGCAACAAUGAGAAAACCAAGACAGAGACACUGAGUUCACGUGACUGCUCAGGCUGAUACGAGAUGCAGUCAGGAUUCCCACACGGGUCCGCGCUGACUCAUGGCCCUGCCGCACACAUCGGAGAGCAAGCAGUGAUGCAGUACCAAACUUGCAGCAGUGAGGAACUAAAGAGGAGAACUGACGGAUGGGCUAGAGGUCUGAUUCAAACUCUUGAUGACGAAUUGAAGAACUGCUUUUCAAAUAUGUAUCCUAUUUGACUUUUUGUAUAUUUGUUAGUACAUUAUACACCAUUAUUUCUUCUGUCAUUUGUUCAAUAAACAUUCCUUGAGCUUUUGCCACGUGCCAGCGAGCACUCGGGCAGAGCACCGAGGAAUGGCCAUGUUCAGUAACCAGAAAGCACAGCUCUGUCAGGAAUUAUAACCUCUGCGACUCUGGUA